rnacentral:rRNA from 1 species
UACAGAGGGUGCAAGCGUUAAUCGGAAUUACUGGGCGUAAAGCGUGCGUAGACGGUUGCGUAAGUCAGAUGUGAAAGCCCCGGGCUCAACCUGGGAAUUGCAUUUGAGACUGCGUAGCUAGGGUGCGGAAGAGGAAAGCGGAAUUUCCGGUGUAGCGGUGAAAUGCGUAGAUAUCGGAAGGAACACCAGUGGCGAAAGCGGCUUCCUGGUCCAGCACCGACGUUCAGGCACGAAAGCGUGGGGAGCAAACAGG